GCGGAUGUGGCUCAGCUGGUAGAGCAUCACCUUGCCAAGGUGAGGGUCGCGGGUUCGAAUCCCGUCAUCCGCU
rfam:Brevibacterium yomogidense strain B Co 03.10 genome assembly, contig: Scaffold5